CAGCAACAUGGUGUAAAGAUUUCAAAUAAAGAGCAUUCGAUACAAAGCUUGGACCUGAAGAGAUUCAUGAUUCAGAAAACAAAGGGUGUUUAUAUUUUACAUUCUCCCGAGCGAAUUGUUGUUAAGACUAGUUCCGAGCUGCUACUCUAAUGGCGGUUUAGAUUUUUCAGCUUGGAGCUCCUUGUGCGUCAUAGACAACAAUGGUAGAACCUUUUUUCUCUUGAGAAAGAAAUACCACAAUCAAUGGUAGCAAAAGGCUUCUCUUUUCAGCUCCCUUUGUCAAAUAAGUUAGAAUGAUGACAAAAUGAGUCGAUGAGAAUCUGAGUGAUAUUGUCGACAACCGCUUUAAGUAUGUCCCAAGCGAUUGAGAAACCAUAGUGCUCCUUCUGCGGCUUGCUCUUCGGCCUCUUGUUCAUGAGGUUGUGAUUCACUGAAGCACUCCAAAAUAGUGAUUGUGAUUGUAUCUACCUCCAGAAUGAUCUUACACGAGAAUCUGCAAAUAAUCACAAGGAAAUAUAUAUGUGUAUAUAUGUGUUGUGUGUGUGAGAACUGCAGCUUGAUUGUAACAGAAAUACGCUACAUGUAUCAAGCACCGUGCACACAAAAAGGAAAAGUAAGCUCCUGUCGAUCACAGGAUCUGAGUUGGAAAUUCAUCAUAAUAAUUUGGCUAUCCAAGAUGCAUGAACAACCUCCAUUUGGAGAAUCUCUACAAGGUAAAUGUGAGCCAAUAAACAUCGAUGGGCCACUAUUCCAACAUACCGUAGGAAGUCCAUCAAAGAGUUCGUAGCUUAUUAAUGUUCCCUCUAAGGUUCAGGAUUCUUGUCUACCUUGUUGGUGUUUGGUAUUGAGUCUUCAAAUUUUGGGUUCGAGAAGACAUUAAGAGAGUAAAAGAUUAUCAUAUUUCUCAAGCUCCAAGCUCUUGCUCAGCUCAAUAUGCCAAGUCCACUGCUAAGUUUAUUUGGAUUUUAUAUCUUUCGGGAAAGCUAUUGCAAAAUUGCUCCGACCAUUGUUAACACCGAGUUAAAACGUAGAUCUUGCGAUUUGCUCUUUUGGUACAUUGCAGAAUUGUUGUAUUAGUCAAAUACUGAAUCUCAAACUGAGUUUCAGAAACUCAUCUUCUAUGCUCAUGCUCAAUAUCAUCUUAUACUAUGCUUGUACUUAUAUGUGCACUGUUAUUUGAUAUAAUCUUAGUUCGCUUCUAUAUUUGAUUUAUGUAGCUUGUUAUUUGAUCUCUUAGCUUUUACAAUGCGUAUUUGACCUUAUUCAGGGAUGUACAUUUAGUUCAUGUUUACCAUUUUUCAUGACUAACUUUCACUAUUUAUCAUCUCCCCUUUUACUUUCCUCCUGACAGAUAGAUCUUAUGCUUCAAUAACAGUCUAUAAAAAGAAAGACAUUAUCUAGUUUUCGAUAAAAUAUAUAAGGUACUAAUUUGAUUACGAUGAGCCAUGAUUUAUCAUCAUAAACAUUGCAAGAGGGAAAUUUUUAAGCUCUACAGAUAACAACUAACAUAUAGAAAAUGCCUCAGAAGUUUGUAGUGAUAUUCUAGAAAGAUAAUAACUGAUAUGCAGAAGUACUAAGAGACAAUAAGCGUAACCUGCCUUUUUUGUUGUUCAGGUCCUUCCUCGCACAAAAUAAAUGAUGGGUGUUUCCAGGAAUUUGCAGCACAGAUCAUAAGCAGCCGUGAUUUCGCAGUUCCUGUACCCUGAUCUCCUAUAAACGUUAAAAUGUCUUGGCAUGCCCUUGUUUUAUUGGUUGCAGUCAUCUCCUUGGAAAAACCGAUCGAUUCUGCUUCUCGACUCCUGUUUGCUAGAAAAAGUUCAUGUCCCACAAUCGAAUCAUCUUCAAUGGUACUUCUGGCUACAAUAAUCUCCUUACAAAAGCUAACUAAUUUGGCUUCUUGGCUUCUACUCUGGGGCUCCAUUUCGGAGAGCAAGCUUCCUUCAUGUGGGCGAUAAAGAGCC